UACGUAGGGUGCAAGCGUUAAUCGGAAUUACUGGGCGUAAAGGGUGCGUAGGCGGUCUGCUAAGUUUGAUGUGAAAUCCCGGGGCUCAACCCUGGAAUGGCAUUGAAUACUGGCGGACUAGAGUACCGGAGAGGAAACUGGAAUUUACGGUGUAGCAGUGAAAUGCGUAGAGAUCGUAAGGAAGACCAGUGGCGAAGGCGAGUUUCUGGACGGUAACUGACGCUGAGGCACGAAGGCCAGGGGAGCAAACAGG
rnacentral:rRNA from 1 species